UACGGGGGGUCCUAGCGUUGUUCGGAAUCACUGGGCGUAAAGCGUUUGUAGGUGGCUUUGUAAGUUAAAUGUGAAAGCCCAGGGCCUAACCCUGGAAGUGCAUUUAAUACUGCAGAGCUUGAGUAUGAGAGAGGAAGGUGGAAUACCUGGUGUAGUGGUGAAAUACGUAGAUAUCAGGUGGAACAUCGGCGGCGAAAGCGGCCUUCUGGCUUAAUACUGACACUGAAAAACGAAAGCGUGGGGAUCAAACAGG
rnacentral:rRNA from 1 species